rnacentral:rRNA from 2 species
AGCGNGCGGACGGGUGAGUAUGCCUAGGAAUCUGCCUGGUAGUGGGGGAUAACGUUCCGAAAGGAACGCUAAUACCGCAUACGUCCUACGGGAGAAAGCAGGGGACCUUCGGGCCUUGCGCUAUCAGAUGAGCCUAGGUCGGAUUANCUAGUUGGUGAGGUAAUGGCUCACCAAGGCGACGAUCCGUAACUGGUCUGAGAGGAUGAUCAGUCACACUGGAACUGAGACACGGUCCACACUCCUACGGGAGGCAGCAGUGGGGAAUAUUGGACAAUGGGCGAAAGCCUGAUCCACCCAUGCCGCGUGUGUGAAGAAGGUCUUCGGAUUGUAAAGCACUUUAAGUUGGGAGGAAGGGCUGUAGGCUAAUAUCCUGCGGUUUUGACGUUACCAACAGAAUAAGCACCGGCUAACUUCGUGCCAGCAGCCGCGGUAAUACAAAGGGUGCAAGCGUUAAUCGGAAUUACUGGGCGUAAAGCGCGCGUAGGUGGUUCGUUAAGUUGGAUGUGAAAGCCCCGGGCUCAACCUGGGAACUGCAUCCAAAACUGGCGAGCUAUAGUACGGUAGAGGGUAGUGGAAUUUCCUGUGUAGCGGUGAAAUGCGUAGAUAUAGGAAGGAACACCAGUGGCGAAGGCGACUACCUGGACUGAUACUGACACUGAGGUGCGAAAGCGUGGGGAGCAAACACGAUUAGAUACCCUNNUAGUCCACGCCGUAAACGAUGUCAACUAGCCGUUGGAAUCCUUGAGAUUUUAGUGGCGCAGCUAACGCAUUAAGUUGACCGCCUGGGGAGUACGGCCGCAAGGUUAUAACUCACAUGANUUUGACGGGGGGCCCGCACAANCGGUGNAGCAUGUGNUUUUAAUUUCUNAAGCAACGCGAANAACCCUUACCUGNCCUUCGACAUGCCUNGAGAACUUCUCCCANAGAUGG